rnacentral:rRNA from 1 species
UUAAAUUGAAGAGUUUGAUCAUGGCUCAGAUUGAACGCUGGCGGCAGGCCUAACACAUGCAAGUCGAACGGUAACAGGAAGAAGCUUGCUUCUUUGCUGACGAGUGGCGGACGGGUGAGUAAUGUCUGGGAAACUGCCUGAUGGAGGGGGAUAACUACUGGAAACGGUAGCUAAUACCGCAUAACGUCGCAAGACCAAAGAGGGGGACCUUCGGGCCUCUUGCCAUCGGAUGUGCCCAGAUGGGAUUAGCUAGUAGGUGGGGUAACGGCUCACCUAGGCGACGAUCCCUAGCUGGUCUGAGAGGAUGACCAGCCACACUGGAACUGAGACACGGUCCAGACUCCUACGGGAGGCAGCAGUGGGGAAUAUUGCACAAUGGGCGCAAGCCUGAUGCAGCCAUGCCGCGUGUAUGAAGAAGGCCUUCGGGUUGUAAAGUACUUUCAGCGGGGAGGAAGGGAGUAAAGUUAAUACCUUUACUCAUUGACGUUACCCGCAGAAGAAGCACCGGCUAACUCCGUGCCAGCAGCCGCGGUAAUACGGAGGGUGCAAGCGUUAAUCGGAAUUACUGGGCGUAAAGCGCACGCAGGCGGUUUGUUAAGUCAGAUGUGAAAUCCCCGGGCUCAACCUGGGAACUGCAUCUGAUACUGGCAAGCUUGAGUCUCGUAGAGGGGGGUAGAAUUCCAGGUGUAGCGGUGAAAU